rnacentral:rRNA from 1 species
GCGGUGUCCCAUACCGACCUAGAGGAGCCUGUCCUAUAAUCGAUAAUCCACGUUUUACCCCACCACCUCUUGCAAUUCAACCUAUAUACCGCCGUCGCCAGCCUACCUUAUGAAAGAAAAAAAGUAAGCAAAAUAGUUAACAACUAAAACGUCAGGUCAAGGUGUAGUACAUGGGGUGGAAGAGAUGGGCUACACUUUCUACCACAGAACACACGAACAGUACAGUGAAACCUCUACUCAAAGGCGGAUUUAGCAGUAAGAUAAACAAGAAACUCUAUCUGAAACCCGCUCUGGGACGCGCACACACCGCCCGUCACCCUCAUCACACACCACCCAAAACCUAAAAUAUAAGACCCAAGAAAAACAGAUGAGGAAAGUCGUAACAUGGUAAGCGCACCGGAAGGCGCGCUUGGAGUACAAAAAGUAGCUUAACACAAAGCAUUCAGCUUACAAUUGAAAUAUGUUAGUAAGACCUAACCUUUUUGA